rnacentral:rRNA from 1 species
UUAACCCAUAUAAAUAGGCAAUCGGCGUAAAGAGUGUUUAGGAUAUAAAAAUAAUGAAAUUAAAAAAUAAUUUAGCUGUAAAAAGCUCAAAUUAUAUAUCAAAAAUCAACUACUAAAGUGUUUUCAUAAAUUCUUAUUACACGUGAGCUAAGACCCAAACUAGGAUUAGAUACCCUAUUAUGCUUAGCCCUAAACUUAAAUAAUUUACUAACAAAAUUAUACGCCAGAGAACUACGAGCCACAGCUUAAAACUCAAAGGACUUGGCGGUGCUUUAUACCCCCUAGAGGAGCCUGUUCUGUAAUCGAUACACCCCGAUCAACCUUACCAAUCUUUGCUAAUUCAGCCUUUAUACCGCCAUCUUCAGCUAACCCUAAAAAGGGAAAAAAGUAAGCGCAAUAAUCUAAAACGUAAAUAAGUUAGGUCAAGGUGCAGCCUAUAGAUUGGAAUUGAAAUGGGCUACAUUCUUUUUCUAAAAGCAUAACGGAAACUUCCAUGAAAUUGAAAGUUGAAGGAGGAUUUAGCAGUAAAUUAAGAGUAGAGUGCUUAAUUGAACUUGGCAAUGAAGCAUGCACACACCGCCCGUCACCCUCUUCAA